CGAAUUGCCGGUGCCGGAGGCGAGAGCGUGAAACAGCAGCAGGGUCCACGUGGAAGUAUGUUUUUUGUUUUGUUUUUUAUAGCAGUGUGUAAUAUAUAGUUCCAUAACACUCACUCUAUCAUUAUUAUUAUUAGUUAUGGUAUAUUCAUGUAGAACAAAGAUUAAAUUUGUGUUUUUCCAAUGUGUAACAGAUUUGCCUGAUAUUCGGCUCAACAUUCAAAGACCGAUUCUAGCAGACCAGACUAAUGUGCUGACAAGCGGUAGUUUUGUACCUAUCGAGGCCAAUGUCAUUCAGCGAACCCCCGGACCAAAUCGACUGUCCAAGAAGAAUUUGAAAAGAUCGGCGGGGGUAGUGGUGGCUAUACCCUGUUCACCACUGGCCAUAGAACAGCUACAAAUUCCUUAUAAAAAGGCUCGCAAGGAUGCCACACAUAAUGGUUUAACUCCGGAGAAUAUUACCCAGGUUAUACAGGCAGUCAUAAAUCCGCAAAUUGCGCCACAUGGAGCGGCAUGGACUGAUCCCAAACACCGGGUGAUCGGGGACGUGGAGGUGUAUGUGCAUGAGUCGCCUACAGAGACCGUCACUGUGCAACCGGAUGGGACUAUACAGCACGCAGCCCAUGGAGAUCCCCAGUGUGCGCCACCACCAGAGCUGACCGCCGACGAUUGGGCUGGUCUUGACGACAUCUCGUCCUGGACUUCAUCGCUGUUGGAACAUAUCGACUUCACUCCUGCGCAGUGGAUCGACUCUCCAGCUACAUCCGUAGAGGCUACCACCAGUGCAGAGCCUGUACAACACCAUCAGCCUGCAGAUCCUGCAUCUGGACCCCUACAAGCCGUUCAAGACCCUAUCAGCGACCCCCCGUGCACCGUGAGUCCCAUCGCUCAUGAGGUAGCGGUGCCGAGGCUACCAGCCGGUCCCGCAAUUGCUGUUGAUGAACACCAUGCAGGGGUGCAAGGUGAUAAAUGGCGUAAACAAUUUGCUGAUAAACUAGCUGUGUUAACUGCGUCGGUAGAUGUAAACUCCUUAGGCAUUGCUCGUCAGCGUAAACUGGGGGUGGAGGCUGGUAAACGUGUUGACAGUAUAUAUCAGAAGCUCGAAGAACAGACGAAGAAGUCCUUCACGGCUCUCAGGGCCGAGAUUGCGCGUGAUCGUAUGACUGCUGAAUCCCCAAACACUGAGACCAGUAAUGGUCGUGCUAUCGUUGCCCUUCAGCGUAAGCAUUUGGAUGCCGUGGCAGCUGUGCGUGUCAACACGCAGGGCAUAGUGAGAAUUAACGCGCAAGAGGGGUUAAGAGCUGCUAAAACCGCUCGAAAAUUCUGGUUAAUGCAAUCUGCUAGCGAAGCCAACGUCAAUGCCUAUCGGGCAAUGAGUACCGAGAUGUCUGUGAUUAAUGAAACACUAGCAAAGCUUACGAUGAAUGCUAUUAUUUGAUUUGUGUUUUUGUUUUUAAUGUUUUUUUCUUUUAUUUCAUGGAGAGGGUAUCUUUUGUUUUAAACUGCAUGUAAUAAAACUUUUUUUCUUUUAAUACCUGACUACUUAACGUUUUUUUCUUUUUUUUUAAAUAUUAUUAUUUAUAUAUACAGGUGCUGGUCAUAUUAUUAGAAUAUCAUGAAAAAGUUGAUUUAUUUCAUUAAUUCCAUUUAGAAAGUCAAACCUGUAGAAUGUAUACAUUCAUUCCAAACAGACUGAUACAUUAUAAGUGUUUUUUGCCAAAAAGAAGAUGAUUAUAGCUGACAACCAAUGAAAACCCUAAAUUCAACAUCUCAGAAAAUUAGAAUAUGGUGAAAAGGUCAGAUAUUGAAGACACCUGGUGCCACACUCUAAUUAGCUAACUAACUCAAAACACCUGGAAAAGCCUUUAAAUGGUCUCUCGUUUUGAUUCUGUAUGACACACAAUCAUGGGGAAGACUGCUGACUUGACAACUGUCCAAAAGAUGACCAUUGAUACUUUAAAGAAGGAGGGCAAGACACAAAAGGUCAUUGCCAAAGAGGUUGGAUGUUCCCAGAGCUCUGUGUCCAAGCACAUUAAUAGAGAGGCAAAGGGAAGAAAAAGAUGUGGUAGAAAAGAGUGUACAAGCAAGAGGGAUAAACGCGCCCUGGAGAGGAUUGUCAAACAAAACCGAUUCAAAAAUGUGGGGGAGAUCCACAAAGAGUGGACUGUAGCUGGAGUCAGUGCUUCAAGAAGCACCACACACCGACGUAUGCAAGAUAUGGGCUUCAGCUGUCGCAUUCCUCGUGUAAAGCCACUCUUGAAUAAGAGACAACGUCAAAAGCGUCUCGCCUGGGCUCAAGACAAAAAGGACUGGACUGCUGCUGAGUGGUCCAAAGUUAUGUUUUCAGAUGAAAGUAAAUUUUGUAUCUCCUUUGGAAAUCAAGGUCCCAGAGUCUGGAGGAAGACAGGAGAGGCACAGAAUCCACGUUGCCUGAAGUCCAGUGUAAAAUUUCCACAGUCAGUAAUGGUCUGGGGUGCCAUGUCAUCUACUGCUGUUGGUCCACUGUGUUUCCUGAGGUCCAGGGUCAAUGCAGCAGUCUACCAGGAAGUUUUAGAACACUUUAUGCUGCCUGCCGCGGACCAACUUUAUGGAGGUGACGAUUUCAUUUUCCAACAUGACUUGGCACCUGCACACAGUGCCAAAUCUACCAGUACCUGGUUUAAGGACCAUGGUAUCCCUCUUCUUGAUUGGCCUGCAAACUCACCUGACCUUAACCCCAUAGAAAACCUAUGGGGUAUUGUGAAGCGGAAGAUGCGAGAUGCCAGACCCAACAAUGCUGAAGAGCUGAAGGCCACUAUUAAAGCAACCUGGGCUCUCAUAACGCCUGAGGAGUGCAACAGACUGGUCGACUCCAUGCCACGCCGUAUUGCUGCAGCAAUUCAGGCAAAAGGAGCUGCAACUAAGUAUUGAUUGCCAUACAUGCUGAAACUUUCCAUGUUCAUACUUUUCAGUUGGCCCACAUUUCUAAAAAAUCAUUUUUUGUACUAGUCGUAACUAAUAUUCUAAUUUUCUGAGAUACUGAAUUUGGGAUUUUCAGUAAUUGUCAGUACUAAUCAUCCAAAUUAAAAGAAAUAAACAUUUCAAAUAUAUCACUCUGUGUGUAAUGAAUUGAUAUAAUAUGUAAGUUUCACGUUCUGAAUAUAAUUACUGAAAUAAAUCAACUUUUUCAUGAUAUUCUAAUAAUUUGACCAGCACCUGUAUAUAUAUAUUUUUUUUUUCUAUCUAUUGGCAUAAAAAACUAUAGCUGUACACUAUGCAUAACGCCAUUAGCCCUAGAAAAAGGAAAUUCAAAUCUAUAGACGUAAUCCCAAGAGACGGCGUAGAU
ensembl:lncRNA